GUCUCUUUUCAUGCUAAACUUAGUCAUGAGCUAGUUUUCUUUCAUAAUAUUCAUUUGGGGAGUAUUUUGUUAAUUUGAUGUAUGCUUUCACUUUGCUCUGCAGAGAGGGAGCGUCUGAGCCCCAAAGAAGCUGCAGUGGAGAAACGCAAAGAUAAGGUGCCUGUCAGCCCCAGGGAAUCGGCAAUAGAGAAACCCGAAGAGAAGGAGCGUCUGAUCCCCAAAGAAGCUGCACUUGAGAAACGCAAAGAUAAAGAGCCUCUGAGCCCCAAGGAAUCGGCAAUUGAGAAACCCAGAGGUGAGUAAACUUUUACGUAAAUCUCGACUCUCUAGGACAUGUUUCAAGGGCACAUCCUUACUCUAGCCGUUCGGUAUCUUUGAGGAACCCAGAGCAUGUGAUUGGAACAUCAACCCGAUUGUCUUUACUAGAAAUGC